rnacentral:rRNA from 1 species
AAAAUACUAAAAUAGUAAUUAAAUACUUAUUGAAACUUAAAUAAUUUGGCGGUAUUUUAGUUCAUUUAGAGGAAUCUGUUUAAUAAUUGAUAUUCCACGAAUAAAUUUACUUAUUUUAUAAUUUUGUAUAUCGUUGUUAUAAAAAUAUUUUUUAAUAAAAUUAAUGUUUAAAAAUUAAUAUGAAAAAUUAAAUCAGAUCAAGAUGCAGAUUAUAAUUAAGAAUAUAAUGGAUUACAAUAAAUUUAUUUAAAUGAAUUUUAUUUUGUAAUAUUUAAUUGAAGGUGGAUUUAAAUGUAAUUUUAUUUAAUUUAAUAAAAUGAUUAAAAAUUAAAAUAUGU